UCGUGGUAUGGGCAUUGGAGACGAUGUCCUUCAGUUAGGCUGGCCCCAGAAACAGGUGCUGCAUGGCUGUCGUCAGCUCGUGUCGUGAGAUGUUGGGUUAAGUCCCGCAACGAGCGCAACCCUCGCCCUUAGUUGCCAGCAUUUAGUUGGGCACUCUAAGGGGACUGCCGGUGAUAAGCCGAGAGGAAGGUGGGGAUGACGUCAAGUCCUCAUGGCCCUUACGGGCUGGGCUACACACGUGCUACAAUGGUGGUGANAGUGGGCAGCGAGACAGCGAUGUCGAGCUAAUCUCCAAAAGCCAUCUCAGUUCGGAUUGCACUCUGCAACUCGAGUGCAUGAAGUUGGAAUCGCUAGUAAUCGCAGAUCANCAUGCUGCGGUGAAUACGUUCCCGGGUCUUGUACACACCG
rnacentral:rRNA from 1 species